GGCAGAGAGGGGAGGGGGACGAAGUGAAUGCAGUUUGCCGUCGCGUGUCGCCGACUCACAGCAAAGUCUACAGACAGGCAGGACAGAUUGGACCUGAAUCAACAAAUGGAUACAGAAAAACUGGAAUUACACUGGAUAUGAGGAGAAAAUAAGGGAGGACGAAGAGUCAGCCUUCAUCUCUUUUUAUCUCUGCAUCAGAUAGCGCUGCGAGGAACCCACAGGGAGGCAGAGGAACACAGCGGACAACUCAUUUCUCUCUAACAUCCUUGGAAGCCGAGGAGGAGCUAGAAUACAGCCAGAUUGAAUUUAAUAUAUGCUUUUGCCGCUGUGUGUGUGCGUGUAUCGGUAGUGUGUGAGAAUGUGUGUGUGAGCUGAUAAUAGCAGCCCCAUUUGUAUUCAGUGGAGGGAGCUCCAGGAUCUCGCUGCGCCUUUCCCCAGGAUGGGAUCACAGAGCAGGGAUUGUGCUCGCCUGUGGAAUGCCCUGCUGAAAUGGAUCUGAAGACUCACAGAGAUGGACACCAAAAUGGACAGCAUGGAUGCCAGUAGAGACCCUGCGGCGACGAGCUUUGUAGACCUGACCGCCUUCGACUUUGUCAGCCAUCAGCCUGAACCAUCCCAGCAAGGACUGAAGCUGGACAAGCUUGACUGAGAUCCUGAGAGCUUGAAACAGAGUCGACAGAAAAAGGAGUCAAAUUAUAAUCCAGUCCACCUGUUGAGAGCAUCAGUAAAAAGCUUCUUGGACUUCAUCUGAAAUGAAAUGAGCUGCAGUGAUGCUUGAGAAAUGGUAUGGAGCUUUUGGACAUGUCCGGAUUUAUCGCCUGGAUAUCCUAUCGAGAUUACGACACUUUAGUGCACACUUUAGAGCUGGGCCUCUUUUCCAGAUUGGCUUGUGGGCCAAAGCAAGUAAUUGAAAAUCCCCCCUUGAAACGCUCUUUCUUCUGAUUUUUUGUGAGGGAGGACGUUUUUUUCUAAGGAAACAAUUUUUUUAUAAACCCACUCCAUAUCCCACAUUUUCCCCCAUCUUUUUUUUUUCACCAUUUUCUCUCACGUUGUGGAGUAAUACAUUAUGAAGCAUCGCCCUUCCUUUUCAUCCCCCCUUGGUGACAGAGAGACAGGAGGGACAGACUGUCCAGAAUAGGUAACGAACAAGGAGACUGACACACAGGAGAGUAAAUAGAGGGAAACAGGUAGAGAAGAGAAAUAAGAAGACAGAUAAGGGAAAUAAAAAAUAACAUUUACUGGGGUCCUUUUGGAGACUUCCCGAUUCGUCUCUGCCGUGUUGGAGGCUAGUUAGCGCAAUGGGCAGGGGAGGGGUCAGGAUUUACACUAGGGGGGGCACUUGAGCAGGAGAGUAGGCUUAUGUCCCCCCUGCACCCACCUGAUUUGAAUCUUAGUGUUUGGCAGGAAGACAGACUGAAAGAUGUCCUGGUAAACAGACAGCUAUACCGAAUGACAGACAAGCUCUGAGGCUAGAGAGAGAGACAGGAAGAGAGGAAGACAGGUACACAGCCUUUUCCAAGUGUCAGGCAGAGGGCCAGGCAGACAUCCAGUGCAGGCAUCCAGUGCAGGCACAGUAGACAGCCUGCAAUUCAUUGUCAUUCUUUGCUGCCUGCAAGGGAGAGACAGACAGAAGCAAAGAAAGCAGAGACAGGAAGGACAAGAGGAGCAUCCCUGUGUUUGUAGCUUGUGGAGGAUCUCACUUCAUCUGCAUCCACCUCAGUCAAGAGCCCAUGCUCUGAAAAAAGAAAAACAGGCAGUGAGGGAGGGGGCUGUUACUAGAAAGGAAAGACAGGUUGGAGAGAGAGAGUGAGGGAGGAAGAGAAACAGAGGGAGUGAGCAGGUGUCGGAAAUCCUCCCCUUCAUCUGCUUGUCAUUUACUCCUUUAUGUUCUCUCGUCGUCUGGCGAAGUGAUUGGUUUUCUGAUGCUGGUGUUCCUCUGCACAUAGCCUCCACAUCAACACCACCACCACCGCCAGCACCACUGCUACACCCCCCCCCCCCCCCAACC